CUUAGGUUUGGGUGGCGGACGGGUGAGUAACGCGUAAAGAACUUGCCUCACAGCUAGGGACAACAUUUGGAAACGAAUGCUAAUACCUAAUAUUAUGAUAAUAGGGCAUCCUAUAAUUAUGAAAGCUAUAAGCGCUGUGAGAGAGCUUUGCGUCCCAUUAGCUAGUUGGAGAGGUAACGGCUCACCAAGGCGAUGAUGGGUAGCCGGCCUGAGAGGGUGAUCGGCCACAAGGGGACUGAGACACGGCCCUUACUCCUACGGGAGGCAGCAGUGGGGAAUAUUGGACAAUGGACCAAGAGUCUGAUCCAGCAAUUCUGUGUGCACGAUGAAGUUUUUCGGAAUGUAAAGUGCUUUCAGUUGGGAAGAAAAAAAUGACGGUACCAACAGAAGAAGUGACGGCUAAAUACGUGCCAGCAGCCGCGGUAAUACGUAUGUCACGAGCGUUAUCCGGAUUUAUUGGGCGUAAAGCGCGUCUAGGUGGUUAUGUAAGUCUGAUGUGAAAAUGCAGGGCUCAACUCUGUAUUGCGUUGGAAACUGUAUAACUAGAGUACUGGAGAGGUAAGCGGAACUACAAGUGUAGAGGUGAAAUUCGUAGAUAUUUGUAGGAAUGCCGAUGGGGAAGCCAGCUUACUGGACAGAUACUGACGCUGAAGCGCGAAAGCGUGGGUAGCAAACAGGAUUAGAUACCCUGGUAGUCCACGCCGUAAACGAUGAUUACUAGGUGUUGGGGGUCGAACCUCAGC
rnacentral:rRNA from 1 species